GAUGAACGCUGGCGGCGUGCCUAAUACAUGCAAGUCGAGCGAACAGAUAAGGAGCUUGCUCCUCUGACGUUAGCGGCGGACGGGUGAGUAACACGUGGAUAACCUACCUAUAAGACUGGGAUAACUUCGGGAAACCGGAGCUAAUGCCGGAUAAUAUAUUGAACCGCAUGGUUCUAUAGUGAAAGACGGUUUUGCUAUCACUUAUAGAUGGAUCCGCGCCGCAUUAGCUAGUUGGUAAGGUAACGGCUUACCAAGGCAACGAUGCGUAGCCGACCUGAGAGGGUGAUCGGCCACACUGGAAAUUAGACCCGGGCCAGACUCCCACGGGAGGCAGCAGUAGGGAAUCUUUCGCAAUGGGCGAAAGCCUUACGGAGCCACCCCGGCGGAGUGGUGAAGGUUUUCGGAUCGUAAAACUCUGUUAUUAGGGAAGAACAAAUGUUUAAGAUACCAUGCCCGUCUUGAACGUACCCAAUCAAAAAGCCACGGCUAACUACGUG
rnacentral:rRNA from 1 species